rnacentral:misc_RNA from 1 species
GCCCUCUCGGUGCUUACGUUAACCCACAUGGUUAUGUACAUGAGAUAAUGACACUGUUUCAAGCAAAUGGGUUGGCUGUUAUUGGAAAUCCUGUUAAAGAAUACAGCUGGUUUCCUGGGUACGCCUGGUCAAUCGCUGAAUGCGCGACUUGUGAAACUCAGUUGGGAUGGCUUUUUACUGCUACAAAGAAGAAACUUAAACCCAGGUCAUUUUGGGGCAUUCGAAGUUCCCAAGUCGCUGAUGAUUCACGUUGAAGCUUUGGUAUUUCAUCGACCUGGUUUGUAAAUUUGAGAGCUUUUGUACUUCAAUAAUAGCUCUUUACUUCCUAAUCUGAAGUGUAGUAUUUCAUGCUCUUUAUAACAUGUUAGAACUUUG